GACGAACGCUGGCGGCGUGCUUAACACAUGCAAGUCGAACGGUAAGGCCCCUUCGGGGGUACACGAGUGGCGAACGGGUGAGUAACACGUGAGCAACCUGCCCUUGACUCUGGAAUAACAGUUGGAAACAGCUGCUAAUACUGGAUAUUCAUCGUCUCCUUCCUGUGGGGUGGUGGAAAGCUCCGGCGGUCAGGGGUGGGCUCGCGGCCUAUCAGCUUGUUGGUGAGGUAAUGGCUCACCAAGGCUUCGACGGGUAGCCGGCCUGAGAGGGCGACCGGCCACACUGGGACUGAGAUACGGCCCAGACUCCUACGGGAGGCAGAAGUGGGGAAUAUUGCACAAUGGGCGCAAGCCUGAUGCAGCAACGCCGCGUGCGGGAUGACGGCCUUCGGGUUGUAAACCGCUUUCAGUAGGGACGAAGGGUGACUGACGGUACCUACAGAAGAAGGACCGGCUAACUACGUG
rnacentral:rRNA from 1 species